rnacentral:tRNA from 1 species
AUUUAUAUAGUUUAACAACAAAACAUUACAUUUUCAUUGUAAAAAUAAAAUUAUAAUUUUUUUUAUAAAUA